GUCAUAUGCUUGUCUCAAAGAUUAAGCCAUGCAUGUCUCAGUACACGCCAAAUUAAGGUGAAACCGCGAAAGGCUCAUUAAAUCAGUUAUGGUUCCUUAGAUCGUACCCACAAUUACUUGGAUAACUGUGGUAAUUCUAGAGCUAAUACAUGCUAACAGAGUUCCGACCGGAGACGGAAGGAAUGCUUUUAUUAGAUCAAAACCAAUCGGUGGCGGCGGGUUCUCCCGCUCGUUAUCGUACAACUUGGUGACUCUGAAUAACUUUACGCUGAUCGCACGGUCAUCGCGCCGGCGACGCAUCUUUCAAAUGUCUGCCUUAUCAACUGUCGAUGGUAGGUUCUGCGCCUACCAUGGUUGUAACGGGUAACGGGGAAUCAGGGUUCGAUUCCGGAGAGGGAGCCUGAGAAACGGCUACCACAUCCAAGGAAGGCAGCAGGCGCGCAAAUUACCCACUCCCGGCACGGGGAGGUAGUGACGAAAAAUAACGAUACGGGACUCAUCCGAGGCCCCGUAAUCGGAAUGAGUACACUCUAAACCCUUUAACGAGGAUCAAUUGGAGGGCAAGUCUGGUGCCAGCAGCCGCGGUAAUUCCAGCUCCAAUAGCGUAUAUUAAAGUUGUUGCGGUUAAAAAGCUCGUAGUCGAAUUUGUGUCUCGCGCCGCCGGUUCAUCGUCCGCGGUGUUAACUGGCGAGUCGCGAGACGUCCUGCCGGUGGGCUUAGCUCGCGAGGGCGGCGGCCCAACUCAAUCCUGCCGCGGUGCUCUUCAUUGAGUGUCGAGGUGGGCCGGCACGUUUACUUUGAACAAAUUAGAGUGCUUAAAGCAGGCUAAAACUUCGCCUGAAUACUGUGUGCAUGGAAUAAUGGAAUAGGACCUCGGUUCUAUUUUGUUGGUUUUCGGAACCCCCGAGGUAAUGAUUAAUAGGAACGGAUGGGGGCAUUCGUAUUGCGACGUUAGAGGUGAAAUUCUUGGAUCGUCGC
rnacentral:rRNA from 1 species